UCUCCUGUAGUGUAGGUUCUCAUGUUUCUACCGUAGCGGUAUUAUAGGAACAUGCUUUCUCUCUGGGUGAGUUCUCCUGUAGUGUAGGUUCUCAUGUUUCUACCGUAGCGGUAUUAUAGGAACAUGCUUUCUCUCUGGGUGAGUUCUCCUGUAGUGUAGGUUCUCAUGUUUCUACCGUAGCGGUAUUAUAGGAACAUGCUUUCUCUCUGGGUGAGUUCUCCUGUAGUGUAGGUUCUCAUGUUUCUACCGUAGCGGUAUUAUAGGAACAUGCUUUCUCUCUGGGUGAGUUCUCCUGUAGUGUAGGUUCUCAUGUUUCUACCGUAGCGGUAUUAUAGGAACAUGCUUUCUCUCUGGGUGAGUUCUCCUGUAGUGUAGGUUCUCAUGUUUCUACCGUAGCGGUAUUAUAGGAACAUGCUUUCUCUCUGGGUGAGUUCUCCUGUAGUGUAGGUUCUCAUGUUUCUACCGUAGCGGUAUUAUAGGAACAUGCUUUCUCUCUGGGUGAGUUCUCCUGUAGUGUAGGUUCUCAUGUUUCUACCGUAGCGGUAUUAUAGGAACAUGCUUUCUCUCUGGGUGAGUUCUCCUGUAGUGUAGGUUCUCAUGUUUCUACCGUAGCGGUAUUAUAGGAACAUGCUUUCUCUCUGGGUGAGUUCUCCUGUAGUGUAGGUUCUCAUGUUUCUACCGUAGCGGUAUUAUAGGAACAUGCUUUCUCUCUGGGUGAGUUCUCCUGUAGUGUAGGUUCUCAUGUUUCUACCGUAGCGGUAUUAUAGGAACAUGCUUUCUCUCUGGGUGAGUUCUCCUGUAGUGUAGGUUCUCAUGUUUCUACCGUAGCGGUAUUAUAGGAACAUGCUUUCUCUCUGGGUGAGUUCUCCUGUAGUGUAGGUUCUCAUGUUUCUACCGUAGCGGUAUUAUAGGAACAUGCUUUCUCUCUGGGUGAGUUCUCCUGUAGUGUAGGUUCUCAUGUUUCUACCGUAGCGGUAUUAUAGGAACAUGCUUUCUCUCUGGGUGAGUUCUCCUGUAGUGUAGGUUCUCAUGUUUCUACCGUAGCGGUAUUAUAGGAACAUGCUUUCUCUCUGGGUGAGUUCUCCUGUAGUGUAGGUUCUCAUGUUUCUACCGUAGCGGUAUUAUAGGAACAUGCUUUCUCUCUGGGUGAGUUCUCCUGUAGUGUAGGUUCUCAUGUUUCUACCGUAGCGGUAUUAUAGGAACAUGCUUUCUCUCUGGGUGAGUUCUCCUGUAGUGUAGGUUCUCAUGUUUCUACCGUAGCGGUAUUAUAGGAACAUGCUUUCUCUCUGGGUGAGUUCUCCUGUAGUGUAGGUUCUCAUGUUUCUACCGUAGCGGUAUUAUAGGAACAUGCUUUCUCUCUGGGUGAGUUCUCCUGUAGUGUAGGUUCUCAUGUUUCUACCGUAGCGGUAUUAUAGGAACAUGCUUUCUCUCUGGGUGAGUUCUCCUGUAGUGUAGGUUCUCAUGUUUCUACCGUAGCGGUAUUAUAGGAACAUGCUUUCUCUCUGGGUGAGUUCUCCUGUAGUGUAGGUUCUCAUGUUUCUACCGUAGUGGUAUUAUAGGAACAUGCUUUCUCUCUGGGUGAGUUCUCCUGUAGUGUAGGUUCUCAUGUUUCUACCGUAGCGGUAUUAUAGGAACAUGCUUUCUCUCUGGGUGAGUUCUCCUGUAGUGUAGGUUCUCAUGUUUCUACCGUAGCGGUAUUAUAGGAACAUGCUUUCUCUCUGGGUGAGUUCUCCUGUAGUGUAGGUUCUCAUGUUUCUACCGUAGCUGUAUUAUAGGAACAUGCUUUCUCUCUGGGUGAGUUCUCCUGUAGUGUAGGUUCUCAUGUUUCUACCGUAGCGGUAUUAUAGGAACAUUUUACAGUAGUACGAGUUCACUGUAUAUGCACAAUUACAGGAAAUGGACAAUUGGAAAGUAAAAUGAUGCUCAGAUUGUUCCAUCAA